rnacentral:rRNA from 1 species
CCUACGGGAGGCAGCAGUGAGGAAUAUUGGUCAAUGGGCGAGAGCCUGAACCAGCCAAGUCGCGUGAAGGAUGACGGCCCUACGGGUUGUAAACUUCUUUUGUCAGGGAGCAAUUGAGUCCACGUGUGGUCUUAGCGAGAGUACCUGAAGAAAAAGCAUCGGCUAACUCCGUGCCAGCAGCCGCGGUAAUACGGAGGAUGCGAGCGUUAUCCGGAAUGACUGGGCGUAAAGGGGGCGGAGGUGGUUUGACAAGUUAGUAGCGUAAUUCCGGGGCUCAACUUCGGAACUACUACUAAAACUGUUGGGCUUGAGUGCAGGAGAGGUGAAUGGAAUUCCUAGUGUAGCGGUGGAAUGCGUAGAUAUUAGGAGGAACACCAGCGGCGAAAGCGAUUCACUGGACUGUAACUGACACUGAGGCACGAAAGCGUGGGGAGCAAACAGGAUUAGAUACCCCAGUAGUC